UCAGGAUCACUGCAUUAUCAUGGCUGUGGAUCUGCUACCCAGGACAGCUGCCAAGUGACUCCUGGGAUUUCGGACUAUGGAUUGCUUCAGAUAACCAGAACAGAAGGAAAUGAAACCAAGAUUGAGGGACAUGGUGCCUCUAGGAUUGACCAGGUUACUUUCCUGCUGCUGUGACAAAACACCAUGAGCAAGGUAACCUAUAAAAGAAAUACUCUAAUCUGGAGCUGAUGGCUGCUGUGACAAAACACCAUGAGCAAGGAACUGAAACACCAGCUGUAGAUGGGGGAUGAAGAAGC